AAAAUACUCCCUCCGUUCCGAAUUACUUGUCGCAGGUAUGGAUGUAUCUAGAUGUAUUUUAGUUCUAGAUACAUCCAUUUCUGCGACGAGUAAUUUGGAACGGAGGGAGUAACUG
rnacentral:pre_miRNA from 1 species